rnacentral:rRNA from 1 species
ACUCAAAUGAAUUGACGGGGGCCCGCACAAGCAGCGGAGCGUGUGGUUUAAUUCGAGGCUACACGAAGAACCUUACCUGGGUUUGACAUACGUCUGGUAGGGACCUGAAAGGGAACCGACCGCAAGGAGGACGUACAGGUGCUGCAUGGCUGUCGUCAGCUCGUGCCGUGAGGUGUUAGGUUAAGUCCUGUAACGAGCGCAACCCUCGGCAGUAGUUACACGUAGUCUACUGCAACUGCCCGUGACAAGCGGGAGGAAGGUGGGGAUGACGUCAAGUCAGCAUGGCCUUUAUAUCCAGGGCUACACACACGCUACAAUGGCCGGUACAAUGGGUCGCCAAGCCGCAAGGCGGAGCCAAUCCACCAAAGCCGGUCUCAGUUCGGAUUGAGGGCUGCAACCCGCCCUCAUGAAGUCGGAGUUGCUAGUAACCGCCGGUCAGCCAUACGGCGGUGAAUACGUUCCCGGGCCUUGUACACACCGCCCGU